UGCGGGAGUAGAUGUCGAAGGAUACGUUGAAGUCCUCGAAUGACUUUUUGAUCAGCUCGUGGUACUUGUCCACGGCCUGCUGC
rnacentral:tRNA from 1 species